CGCCAGACUCCUACGGGAGGCAGCAGUGGGGAAUAUUGCACAAUGGGGGAAACCCUGAUGCAGCGACGCCGCGUGGGCGAUGAAGUAUUUCGGUAUGUAAAGCUCUAUCAGCAGGGAAGAAGAUGACGGUACCUGACUAAGAAGCCCCGGCUAACUACGUGCCAGCAGCCGCGGUAAUACGUAGGGGGCAAGCGUUAUCCGGAUUUACUGGGUGUAAAGGGAGCGUAGACGGCGGCGCAAGCCAGAUGUGAAAGCCCGGGGCUCAACUCCGGGACUGCAUUUGGAACUGUGUGGCUGGAGUGUCGGAGAGGCAGGCGGAAUUCCUAGUGUAGCGGUGAAAUGCGUAGAUAUUAGGAGGAACACCAGUGGCGAAGGCGGCCUGCUGGACGAUGACUGACGUUGAGGCUCGAAAGCGUGGGGAGCAAACAGGAUUAGAUACCCGAGUA
rnacentral:rRNA from 1 species